UUUGUACUCCCUCCGUCCCAAAAUUCUUGUCUUAAAUUUGUCUAAAUAUGGAUGUAUCUAGUUACAUUUUAGUGUUAGAUACAUCCGUAUAUAAACAAACGUAAGACAAGAAUUUUGGGACGGAGGGAGUACUAC
rfam:Triticum aestivum genome assembly, contig: Triticum_aestivum_CS42_TGACv1_scaffold_328376_4BS